rnacentral:lncRNA from 1 species
GCGUCGGCGGGGUCUUGGGGCUCGCCAAACUGGGACUCGCUCGGGAAGACGUCGCCGACGCGCAUGUCGGCAUCGACGACGAUGCGCAGCGCCGCGGGCACGUCGAGGCGAUCCGCCCACAGACACACGCCCACGAGGGCGUCGAUCUGGACGCCUAGCGCCACGACGGCACGACGGGCACGAUCGAGACUCUCUGUGUGAGUCGAGCCGGCGAUAAGCACGAGGGUGUGUAUGCAGGCGUGCAGGAACGGCACGCUGCACACGCCGACCGGACGCAGUCGCCCUAUGCCGUGCGUCGCCAUGAUGGCGCCCAGCCGCGCCAUGUUGACGCGCGCGCUCGGUGCCGGUCGCGACAUGAGCACGCAAAAGCCGGCCCACGCGCGCGCACACGAGGGACAGUCGCCGCUGGCGGCCUCGUUGCGCACCACGGCGCCAUUCGUGUCAAUGUAGGCGUGGCGCGCAAAGCACUCUGUGAGGACUGGGUCCGCGAUCGGCCGGCCCACCUGGCGGCGCCCGCCGUUGAACCGCGUCGCGGUGCCGCCCGACGCGCGCGGUGUCAUGUCGAUGGCGAUCCACUUGCCGCGCCCGCGCUGUGUGAGGCCCACGCACAUAACGGUGCACGUGUCACCGUCUCGGCCCAUGGCCUGCAUCGACGCGAGCGGGGCGCUGCCGGCCAUGGCGCCGCUGACGCUGCGAAAGGUUCGGCCCAACGCCUUGGCCGACAGAGAGUCGCAGGGCACGCCCUGCAAUUCGAGCACAAAGUGGGGCGCAUUGCUCACCAGAACCGGCGAGGUUUCCCGCGAUGGCCCUCCCGUCGUCGCGCGCAUGGAUCGUCAAAGUCGGCGCCGGGGGCGACACAAAGCGACCACACUGAGGGGACCGCGCCUUGCAAAGAAAAAAGAACAAGCGCGAGGGUCCAGGAGAGCCGGGCGAGGCGCAACCGACUGCGGGCCCCAAACAAAAAAAAGGCCACGGCCGCCUUGCCGUCCUUGUCUUUUCUUUCUUUCUUUCUUUUUUAAACGGACCCCGUGCGUCUGUCUCUGUGCGCGCGUGUCUGUGUAUAUAUAUAUCUAUAUAUGGAAAUAGAUAUAUGCGUGUCCUUCUG